AUCCCUGCCUACCUGUGGUCUUUCAAAGAACUGCAGCGGUUGGAAGGGACUUCUGAGGAUCAUAGAAUCCAACCUCCUGUUCAAACAGGUCCCCUAAAUAAGUUACGCAAGAAAGCAUUCAGGUGCAUUGUGGAAAUUGCUGUGUUCCAGUUUGUACCCUUUGCCCCAGGCCUCUCAGCCUUUCCCCAUGAAGGAGAUACUCAGGCUCUGAUCCUCUUUAUAGCUCUAAUGCUGACCAACAAGACUCUGCAAAUGUUGAUUGUUUUCUUUUGUCACUGUGAGAGUGCAAUUCAACACAACUGUAACUGGAAGUUGUGAAGGCAGCAUCAUGGUGGUCAUGUAGUCAAAAGCUAUAAAGGAGGCCAGGUUGCUGGGGAGAAAUGCACUUUAUCAGACUGAAUGUGCCAGGAAAACAAACACGUAUUUCAGGCUUCAACGCAGGCAUUUCUAGCAACAGUUUUAUUUGUAUGCCAUACUGAUGGAGUUUGGGUACCAAGUGAGCUCAUGCAGAAGCUGGGGAAGCAAUGUCCUGCCCUUUUCUCUCUCUUUGUGGAAUACCUCUUAUUGUUGAAGCAGCCAAAGUGAAUUGCUGGAUGUUCCAGGACUUUGCUUUUCAGGGAUUGUCAGGUUGAGGUUAUUGAGGUGUAGGCUAUAGCAUACCUGCAUCGCUGCUGAACAAAGGGUCAAACUCGAGCUGACUUGGCUUUUCUGGGAGUUUGCUUCUCUGUGCAAAAACCAUGACAGCGUUAUGUCUCAUCACAGAGGUGCUCAGGCUCCAGAAAUGUGAUUGUCUCCUUGUCUGGGUAUGCAACUGCACUCACAAAUGUGUGCUCAGUGCAGGAACUGUGGGGAUGAGAGUUCCCUCUGCGGUUUGCAGGAACGUGGGUACGGCAUUCUGACAAUGUGCUGUGAACCAGGAAUGCCCAGCUCACUGCACCCACAUGGGAAAUGGUGUGGAAGUCCAGGAAUUCUUCUGCCUUUUCUUCUCCUUCGAAAACUUCUCCCUUUGGGACCUCAUCAUAUGUCAAAGAUAUUUAACUGUAGGUGUUUUGAGUUGGAAAUACGAACCUGCCUGCUGUAAACACUAAACAACAGUUG